UUCGCUGGCGGCGUGGAUUAGGCAUGCAAGUCGAACGGUAGGAUACUUUCGGGUAUCUGAGAGUGGCGAACGGGUGAGUAACACGUAGGUGAUCUACCCUCAAAUCGGGGACAACCCAGGGAAACUUGGGCUAAUACCGGAUGAGUGCGGUAACGCAUAAAAGGUGGCGUAAGCUGCCGUUUGGGGAUGAGCCUGCGCCCUAUUAGUUAGUUGGUGAGGUAACGGCUCACCAAGGCGAUGAUAGGUAGGCGGCCUUAACGGGUGGUCGCCCACACUGGGAUUGAGAUACGGCCCAGACUCGUACGGGAGGCAGCAGUCGAGAAUAGUCUACAAUGGACGAAAGUCUGAUUGUGCGACGCCGCGUGAACGAAGAAGCCCUUCGGGGUGUAAAGUUCUUUUAUAUGUGAGCAAUGCUUCUUAGGUGAAUAGUCUGAGGAGAGAGAUAUUAGCAUAUGAAUAAGCAACGGCUAACUCCGUGCCAGCAGCCGCGGUAACACGGGGGUUCCGAGCG
rnacentral:rRNA from 1 species